rnacentral:misc_RNA from 1 species
GACAAGUUUAAAAAAAAAAAACCUUAGCAGUCUACCCUUUUAUCAUGUGCCUAGCCUCAUUGGGGCGCGCCUCCGUGCGCCUCGGUGCACCUCAGUGAGGUCUUGCGCCUCAGUUGCCCCGAGGCGCCUGGGGCUGCGCCUGGUGCGCCUUAUGCCUGAGGCGCGUUUUAGGUGCGCCUUUGAUAACAGUGGCUACUCCUCCCAUUGCCAUCCGA